rnacentral:rRNA from 1 species
UGGGGAAUAUUGCACAAUGGGCGCAAGCCUGACGCAGCAACGCCGCGUGAGGGAUGACGGCCUUCGGGUUGUAAACCUCUUUUAGUAGGGAAGAAGCGAAAGUGACGGUACCUGCAGAAAAAGCACCGGCUAACUACGUGCCAGCAGCCGCGGUAAUACGUAGGGUGCGAGCGUUGUCCGGAAUUAUUGGGCGUAAAGAGCUCGUAGGCGGUCUGUCGCGUCUGCUGUAAAAACCCGAGGCUCAACCUCGGGCCUGCAGUGGGUACGGGCAGACUAGAGUGCGGUAGGGGAGAAUGGAAUUCCUGGUGUAGCGGUGGAAUGCGCAGAUAUCAGGAGGAACACCGAUGGCGAAGGCAGUUCUCUGGGCCGUAACUGACGCUGAGGAGCGAAAGCGUGGGGAGCGAACAGGAUUAGAUACCCUGGUAGUCCACGCCGUAAACGUU